rnacentral:rRNA from 1 species
GACCCGUCUUGAAACACGGACCAAGGAGUCUAACAUGUGCGCGAGUUAUUGGGAAUCAAAACCCAAAGGCGUAAUGAAAGUAAAGCCCGCUUGCGGGUGACAUGGGAUCCCGGCUCGCCGGGCGCACCAUGGUCCCGUCCUCGCUGCUCGUCAGCUGGGCGGCGACAGAGCGUACACGUUGGGACCCGAAAGAUGGUGAACUAUGCCUGAGCAGGACGAAGCCAGAGGAAACUCUGGUGGAGGUUCUUAGCGGUUCUGACGUGCAAAUCGAUCGUCAGACUUGGGUNUAGGGGCGAAAGACUAAUCGAACCAUCUAGUAGCUGGUUCCUCCCG